ensembl:lncRNA
CACGGCACUGCCGAACGGCCGCGCACAGCGCACCGCAGCGAGGGCCCGGGACCGUGCGGGCCGCGGAGGACAGAGCAGCCGUGAGGAGAGGCAGCGGGGCCGGCUGAUGGAGCUUUUAAUUGGGGGCGGGAGGGGGGGGAGUGGGAGGGAAAGGAAAGGAAGGUCCUCUGGAAAUAUCUUCCGGGAUUAGAACGAGGAGCGCUGGACUCCUAUCUCGAUGCGGCCCUGUAGGAAAGCGCUGCGGGGACCGCGAAAAAGCUGCUCGGAAGGACCCACGGGGCUGAAAACGGGGAUUGGAAAAGAAAAAAAAAAAAAGUAGAUGGUGUGUGUGACAAAAAAAGCUGGGUGAUUCUGUUUUCUCAUGCCCUCGCUCCUCCACCAGCUGCACAGCCAAGCGCAGGCUGCUUGGCCCUUAUAACUAUCUUGGCACGGAGUCAAAAGCUGAUAAGCAUUUGGGCGAGACAGCUCAACUGCUGUGCUGGAAGAAAAACAGCUGCCAUGAUUUCUGUUUGAUUGAGAGCGCUUACACACACGCACAAAAAACACAUCGGGCUGCAGAGACGGGCCACGAAUGCCUGAGGAUUCAGCUUCAGAAGAGCAAUGCACGUUUCCUUAAGGGAAAGAAAAAAAAAAAAGUUUUAUGCAGUUUUGCCUCCGUUCCUCCUCCCCUUUUUAAGGAAAAUGUACUGCGUAGACUCGCUCCUCUCCUUCCCAUCCCCCUCCAUAACCUCAAGCAAACUCGAGGAAUUGUGCCAAAAGUCCCGUUGCUAGUUACUGAGUGCGUUUUUUUCAAACGUCCCUUUGAUACUUCUUCCCCUUGUGCUUGCCAUGGAAUAUGCAAGUAAGAUAAUCUUUCCAUUACUUACCAAAAGUAAUUAAAAAUGAAAAGGGCUUCUAGCAAACCUUCCUUUUCCUACUUUUUUUUUUUUUUUUUCCCUCUGAAGGGGCAGGAGAAUGGAGGCGAGGGAGAGAAGAAUAUUUUUUCUCUUUGCGGAGUCCAACAUUUGGCUUUUUCCAUUUGUGGCAGAUCACUGUAACGCUAUUGUAAAACAACUUCCUGCCCCUUUUGGCUCCGGUUCCAGAAGCUGCUAGGCUAAGUUCAUAGCGCAAACUUUUUUUCCCCCCUUGCCGAAGAAGAAAGGCAAAAAAAAAUAAAUGUCCUGCAAAUGAUUCUCCUCCUUCUCCGGCUGAUGGACUCACAAGGUGAAUUCAUUGCAGCUCUGUAAGAAUGUCACACAAGAGGCAGCGCUAUCCCAGCUGGAUAAUUCAUGAGCCGAAAGCAGAGAACGCCAUUUUGAGGCUGUCACACAUUUCUGUGUCCAAAGUGGAUAACGCCUGCGGAAAGCAUAAGAAUGAUAUUCUCAUGCUGCAGAAAAAGUAGGAAGAGAGGGAAAGAGACUAUCAUCAGGAAAACUGAAAGGAAGAUGCCUCUGUAGCAUGCACAUGCCGCCAGGAAGCAUGAGGUUUAGCCCAGAGGGCUGACAAAAUAAAAGAAACUUCCAGACUACGUGUUGGCAUCAAAUGGGUGACAUGCCCACUGCAGCAGCUAGCCACGCCUCGGUCUGGCCCUUCCUCCAACCUCUGCUAACCUAAAAACCAGCGCCAGGCUGGCAGCGGGCCAUAUAUUCAAAAGUAAACAUUGUUCUCCUGCCAUUUUUCAGCGUUGUUUAUCGCAGCCCGAUCUUCCCGCCUUCCUUCCUCGCUGGAGCUCAGAUCCCCGUCCUCGCCCCGGUUUGUUUCGCUCCGCAGCCGCACCGAACUCCCAAAGCCACGCGGUUACG